GGGUGUGACGGGUUGGCCGUCACAGGAAUCUGGAAUGGUCGGGCCGCCAUUC
rnacentral:ncRNA from 12 species